rnacentral:sRNA from 1 species
UUUCGCGAACAACGCGGGGUUAUCGUC